UACGUAGGGUGCGAGCGUUGUCCGGAAUUAUUGGGCGUAAAGAGCUCGUAGGCGGUGUGUCGCGUCGGCCGUGAAAACCUGGGGCUUAACUCUGGGCGUGCGGUCGAUACGGGCAUCACUAGAGUUCGGCAGGGGAGACUGGAAUUCCUGGUGUAGCGGUGAAAUGCGCAGAUAUCAGGAGGAACACCGGUGGCGAAGGCGGGUCUCUGGGCCGAUACUGACGCUGAGGAGCGAAAGCAUGGGUAGCGAAUAGG
rnacentral:rRNA from 1 species